rnacentral:rRNA from 1 species
CCUACGGGAGUCAGCAGUAGGGAAUCUUCCACAAUGGGCGAGAGCCUGAUGGAGCAAAGCCGCGUGGGUGAAGAAGGUCUUCGGAUCGUAAAACUCUGUUGUUAGAGAAGAAAGUGCGUGAGAGUGACUGUUCACGUUUCGACUGUAUCUAACAAGAAAGCCACGGCUAACUACGUGCCAGCAGCCGCGGUAAUACGUAGGUGGCAAGCGUUAGCCGUAUUUAUUGGGUGUAAAGGGAACGCAGGUGGUUUUUUAAGUCUGAUGUGAAAGCCUUCGGCUUAACCGUAGUAGUGCAUUUGAUACUGGGAGACGUGAGUGCAGAUGAGGAAGGUGGAACUCGAGGUGUAGCGGUGAAAUGCGUAGAUAUAUCGAAGAACACCAGUGGCGAAGGCGGCUUUCUAGUCUGUCACUGACACUGAGGUUCGAAAGUGUGGGUAGCAAACAGGAUUAGAUACCCGGGUAGUC